UCAGUCCUUCCAGUGAAUAUUCAGGACUGAUUUCCUUUAGAAUUGACUAGUUUGAUUUUGCAGUCCAAGGGACUCUCAAGAGUCUUCUCCAACACUUUGCCUCUUGCUAAAUUCUUUUCUGCACUGAGACAUAAAGGACUAUGGUACUGCAGCUCUUCAGAGCCCCUGACAGGACACCUAACAGCUUCAUCUAAAUGCAGGGAUUCCACCAGCACUACUUGGCAUUAAGAUUCCGUCUUAAUACAAAAUGAUCCUGAAUCUGGGCAGCAGAACUCCGAGGCCUUCCAGGGGACAGACAUCCCACCCCACAUCCCCUGCCUCCUGUUUGUAGAAAAGCUUUAGCCUUCUAGGCCUUCCCCAAGUUUCAAAGAGCAAAUUCAGAGAAGUGAGAACACUUAGAAACAAAACAAGUGAGAUAAAAUAACAGUUUAAGCAAGUCAAGGACCCUUAGAUCCUACUCAAAGGCUAUAGAUAAAUAUUCUGAGCCAUAUCCUCCAGUUGUUUUAUAGAUAGUAACCCCACCACCAGUGGGAAGACAUUGAAUGCUCAUGAAAGCACAUAGACCCCAGACCGUUUGGAACAGUAAGGUUGAUAUUGCCUCCUGAAAUAACACCUGGUUAACUCACCACUAAUCCGCAAUGAAUCAGAAAAAUGGCUACAAGCUGAUCAGGUGCCUGUGGCCUUGCUUUCUCACCUUGCUUUUGAAAACACCUCACUGAGAGCUAUCAGGGAAUUCUGGUCAUUUGAGCCUGCUUUCCUUGCUUAGCACCUUGCAAUAAAGUGUAUUUUCCUUUAUCGUAAUCAGAUGUCAGUCAAUUGGCUUUGCUGUGGGUCGGGUACAGCAGAGCCGAUCAUGGUGGUGUUGAGAGGGGGUUUUCAGCAUCUCUGUUCCAAUGUAUUUAUCACAUAACUUCCUGUGAACAGGUUUUUAAGCAGUAAGACCCAACGAUUUGAUCGGGUUGUCUCUGCCUGAGGUGCAAUUUCCUCACCGACCUCCAGCUAAAAAAUUCUGUACCUAGGAAUGCCUUCUGCCCGCAGGGAAAGUGGGGGUCGUGGUAGGGGUUGGGGUAUGAGCGGCGCGGGCGCAAGUGGCUCUGAAGUAUACAAGGAAGACUCGAUGGAAAUGCCAAGGACAGAGGCAGCAUCCGCAAUAAUGCCUCAGUUGAUAGGAUUUAUGGGAACUCAAUACUUGUUGAUCACCCCAUUCCCCCCUGAAUUUGGCUUCUGGAAAAACAGAGGAAACAAAAAAGUGGAAUGAAGGGACGGCGAAACACUGGCUCCAGUCGGACCCCGCCUUUAGUCCCAAAGUGGGAGAGUGGGGAGGUCGAGGGGGUGGGGCGCGGGGAGCGACACUGGCUAGCGCCUGCGCCCUGGCGCCCACCUGCUUCGGAAGCCCUGGGAUCCACUUUCUGACUCCGUGAGAACGGCUGGAUUAAACGUUUUUAUUCCUCAUGCAACUGAAAGUGUGUUAGGAUUUAAAACACAUCCGAUCCCCGAGAUACUGUUUCUUAGCCGUCUCCGUCGUCCGCCGGCACCGCCGAAGGCAGCCGCCAUUGAGGGUUGCCAAGGCGCGGGGUCCUGGGUUUCCAUGACAACACGAAGGCGUCCCGGGAAAGGCGUGGCGACAAGAUGUCUGGCGGGAAACACAAUUUACGGGUUUGUGUUGCAGCUCUGCCAAACCCAAGUACUGUAUGCCGGUAAUAUGUUUGUAGAUUAGCUUUCCGGAGGGUUAUUUCAGCUAAUUACAGAGAGUGCUAGGCAUUGCUUAUAAUGUCACUCCCGAAAACACCCUCCACGUCAACACCUGAGGGCAAAAACUUGAAAAUCUCUGCAUCCAAGGAAGAGACAGGACUUCCUGAACUAAAGGAGAAAAAAAUUUUGGUGGAUCGGUCACAACCCCUUCCUACCUCCCUUCAAAAUGAGUUCAUCCCUGAGGAAGUUCUGCUUUCUCUGACCAAUGCGGCCAAUGCUGGUCCUUGUCCUGAAAACUUACUGCCUGCUAAGAAAAUUAAAACUCCAAAGGGUACUCUUCCUCGCUCUGUUGACCGCGUCUGGCAUAACCCUGUCCGAAGAAAUAAGUUCAAAUACCUGAUUGACCAUCCAGUUUCCCUAACGGGAGCUGGAAGGGAUAUUUCUUUUCUGUAUGAUGUUAAAUAUGUUAAAGGAGAGACGAAGGAGAGUGUGGUUUGUCCCCCACGAACGGACCAUGCUCUGCAGUCACGUGAUGGUGUCAUUGUUCCUCAUAAGCCAAAGAAACUAACAGAUACAUUGAUUCCUGAAGAAUUUCAUAUUGUGUCAAAUACGGGAGUUUCAGGUUUAGAGUGUUUUGAUGACAAAUAUACUACUCUCCUCACAGACAGUGAAAAUAGGCUAUUGCUCUUCCCAUCCAUGAAACCUAAUAAAAGAAUAGAAGUAGUCCAACUGAAUGAUGUGAUGGACACUAUGCUAGAGAGGGCUGGUGUGGAAAAUCAGGAAUAUACAGGGCCAACCAAGAUGCACAAACUGCUUCAUAUACUGAAGAAGGAACAGACCAUUUAUAACACAGUAUUUCAUGAACUGAUUCGACAAGUCAGUGUGGACUGUGCAGAUAGAGGAGAACUACUGUCCAAAAUCAGAGAGCGGUAUGUACAAAUGCUUGACCAAAUUGCCCGGCAGAUGAUUGACUUCUACAAAGACAUGGUAACUCAGCGAGUGAUGGACCAGCGCAUUUUAGAAGAAUUGUACAAUUUUAAGAAUGUUAUUGAGGAACUGACCAGGGAACUGUGUCUGGUUCAGGCACAUGAUAUAAAAUUAACAAAGGAAGCAGAGAAGGCCCACAGAGAUUUGGCACAAGCUCUUUUAGACGCUGAAAAGAAUGCCAGAAUUGUAGAAGAAUAUCAUGACUUAUAUACAUUACAAAGAGAAAGGAUGGAGAGUGAUAUUAAACAGUUAAUGGCGGAAAGAGAUAUCUGGAGCUCAGCUACGUAUGAAUUAUCUGUAAAGGUAAUUGAAAGAAAUAAAGUCCUGUUGGCUAAAAGACUUUACCUCAAUGAAAAAAGCUGGAAUAAUUAUACUAAGCAUUUCAUCGUACUGCUAUCAUCUAAGGACACUUCAGACCUUGCACUAUUGCAGAAGUUGACACAGAAAUGGAAAAUUUUAGUGAAUAAAUUUCAACAGGAAGUGGAGCGAAAUGAAGAGGCUACAAGGGAGAGAUUGCAAAAUGUUAAGGAUGGCCUUGUCAAAUGGCAGCAGUUCUUCAGAAAUAAUACUGAAAAAGACAUUUUAUCACCUCAUAAACAAAAGACACUUGAAUCAAUCGUUCCAGACUUCAAACAGUGGCUAACGAUGUUGACUGAAGACAGAGACAAAUUUUCUGGGGAUCUUCUAGUGUCAAAAUAUGAUUCUCUCAAGCUUAUUAAACGGUUACAGGAAAACUGGACAGAUAUUGGGCUUGGGAUAUUUGGUCGCCAUAAAAGUAUGGAGGGAAAUAUACCACCAGAGCAGAAGCUCAUGGAGGAAAUUUUGAAAAAUAUAGCAAGACUCUACAAAGAAUUUGAAAUAAGAAUAAAUGGAGAUAAUGGUACCUCUAAAAUUCUCCCAACUUUGAUUAGUUCUUUUGAAUUCUGUUCUUUCAAGUUGGAAAGCCUCCUGGAGUUUCCUGACCUGCUUCUUGAAGAAUGGGAGGGACUUAAUGAAAAAAUUAAUGAGAUGAAGUCUCAGUUGGAUUCAUCAUUAUACAUUAUUGGCACUGUUCCGCAGUACAUAGAUAUGGAUUCUGGCCUGGAACUACAAACACAUAUAUUUAACAUGAUUCAACAGUGGCUUUUGAAGAUAGGCGGUGAGAUUAACAAUGGUAACAUGGAACUUCAGCGCCAAAUGGAUGAAUUGCAUAUACCCAUGAUCCAGUGGAUGGUAAAUUUGCUGAUUUUAAUGAUACCUGACUUUCCUGAUCCAGAUACUCUCAUAAGUCUGGAGAAUAGUGCUGAAAAACGUGACCUCGGAAUUGCCAAGUUAGAGCUAGAUGCAAUGGCCCUGGCAAAAAAGUUGUCCCAAUAUUCCAGCUAUUUGAGCAGUUGUUGCAAAGAGCUGGUAGUAGCUAUGGCUGUGAAUAAAGCAAGUCACUUAGAAAAAAAUCCUGAUAAAGAACUUAAUGAACUGGAGAAGAUGAAGAUUAAUAAACUGGGAAGAUGUUAUCAGAGAAGGCUGAGGAUCUGCUCUUCCACCAGAAGUAAGACUUUAAUUGGCCCUAUGCUCGGGCCUUUUUCCCUCCCAAAUGCAUCUGUCCCCUCUUUAAGCCUGAGGCUGAGGCCUUUCAAUGGGUACAUCAAGCUAGUUUAUGACUCAACAGCCAUGCACCUGCCCUGGAACUGCCUCAGUACUCUUUAUUUUAUUUUUAAAUUAAUGGUUAGUUCCCCUCUCAUUAGGGUUAUCUUCAUUUCAAAUUCAUCCCCAUCCUGACUACUACUGUCUUCCCCUCAUCUCCUGGACAACCUGUGUGGUAUGUGAAUCUUUAUGACAUCAAACUCUGGAACUUAUAUGGCCUUAUUCAUAUCCUACAAGGUGAAGAAUAGAAGAUGGUUCUCCAGAGAAGCUUUCUCUAGUGUGGGCAUACUGUGAUGCUCUGUGGCUUGUAGCACACCCCAGCCACAUUCCAGCCCCUGAAGAAGAACAUCUUGCCAACCCAAAGGACUGAUAUUUGACCUUAAUGAUGGUUUCCCACAAUCUGGUAUUUCUUGGGCUCCUUCCUGAUAAAUGUGAGAGUUGCAUGAUGUUGGACCGGUUUCUGGAUCAGGAGGCCUCUUAAAUCAGCAUCCUCUGGAGUCUGAUCACUCUUACUGAUGGUUCAUACUCCACUCUACCAUAAUAAUCCCCUAGAGAAAUGACUUCUUCAUGAAGUCUUGGGGAUGAUCUAGUUCCCCAAGACCAUCAAGGCAGUGCAGUAACUAAUGACCCUAUUUACCUCCCAUCUGAUCCUGGUGUGUUCAUUCGGACUCACCCAGCUGGGCUGCCAUCUUCCAAGAGGACUCAGUUCUUGGGAUUCUUACCCCUAUGCCUAUUUCUGAAAAAAAAGAUGAUCUCAGUGCAUAUCAGCUGCUUCACUUGGGAAUGAGACUUGCUUAUGUUUUCAUUCGCUGUUUAUGAGCACUAUAUCAAAGAGUCCUGGCAUCCAGUCAGACUACAACACUGGGUCCACUACAGCUGAAGCAGCUGCUGAAAACCUAGAAUAAGCCAGAUAGAUGUCUUUUUUCAAGUGUGUUAGGUUGGUCAUCUAUAAUGUGCCAGGCAUCUAGAUUUAGAGUCACUGAUGCCUUGGAGUUUGUUCAUAAUCUGAGCAAUCAGCAGAUUACCUGGAAAGAUUUCUGAGAUAACUUUCAGCAGGCCAAGACUGGUGGAAGACACACACUGACCAGCACCUGAUAGUUCUGAGAACAUGUGGGAAGGAACAAUCCUUUCAAUGCCAAAGAAAUACCUACCAUGAUAGAAAUGAGAAGACUUCUGGCUGGUGCCCUUCAAACUGACUUCUGGCUGCAAUUGAUGCCAUUCUUUCUUGUCUUGCCCUGUGUAAUCUAUCAAGACCCUGCUAUCCACCUUGGGCUACAGUAACCUUUAUGUUGCCCAAGAUGCUACUGCCAGUUUCAGGAUUUGGGCCUCUGAAAAGAGUGUGACUUUGAAGAGUGGUCUGGAGAGUUGCCUCUUGCAGUGUUCCAGCAGAAAGAAUGUUAUGAUUGGAUCACCACGUCCUCUCACCUCCUUUCUGGUCUCAAAGGCAGAAAAAUUAAGUUACUGACACAUGAAGAAAAACAGCAGCUACUUGGAGAAGAGGAUAUUCCAAAAGGAUUAAGUGAGCCUGAAGCAGGAAAGAUUCAUAAAGAAAUUGAAGAAAACAUGGAGGACAAGAAACUUGAGAAGGAAAA